UGGUCUUGACAUAUUUAUGAUCGCUGUAGAAAUACAGUUUCCCUUCGGGGCAUUUAUACAGGUGCUGCAUGGCUGUCGUCAGCUCGUGCUGUGAAGUGUUCGGUUAAGUCCGGCAACGAGCGCAACCCACGUCACUAUUUGCCAUCAGGUAAUGCUGGGAACUAUAGUGAGACUGCCCGUGUUAAACGGGAGGAAGGCGUGGACGACGUCAAGUCAGUAUGGCCCUUAUGACCAGGGCUGCACACGUGCUACAAUGGUCGGUUCAGAGGGAAGCAAUACCGCGAGGUGGAGCAAAUCCGUAAAGCCGGCCCUAGUUCGGAUUGGAGUCUGCAACUCGACUCCAUGAAGUUGGAAUCGCUAGUAAAGGCGUAUCAGCUACGACGCCUUGAAUACGUUCCGCGGGUCGU
rnacentral:rRNA from 1 species